UUAAUCUAUUGGAAAACAGAAGAAUUGGAAAUGACAUUUUGGCUUCAUUGUCUUUUCCUUUUAGCAGUAUUUGAAGGUGUCCAGUCAGAAAUCCAGCUCCAGGAAUCUGGAGGUGAUGUCAAGAGACCUGGGGAGUCCCUUCGCCUUUCCUGUCAAGCCUCUGGUUUUGACUUCAGUAGCUAUUGGAUGGGCUGGGUGAGACAGGCUCCUGGGAAGGGCCUGGAAUGGGUGGCAAUCAUAGAGUAUGAUUCAGACAGGAUUUACUACUUGGAUAACGUGAAGGGAAGAUUCACCACCUCCAGAGACAAUUCCAACAGCCUCCUCUAUCUGCAAAUGAACGGCCUGAAGCCUGAGGACACAGCUGUGUAUUACUGUGCGAGAAGAGACACAGUGAGAGGAAGUGUAUCAGAAGCCAGGCAAAAACCUUCCUUUUCCCUCAGCUGCUCUCUGUGUUGA